UACGGGGGGGCAAGCGUUGUUCGGAAUUACUGGGCGUAAAGGGCUCGUAGGCGGCCAACUAAGUCGGAUGUGAAAUCCCCAGGCUUAACCUGGGAACUGCAUCCGAUACUGGAUGGCUUGAAUCCGGGAGAGGGAUGCAGAAUUCCAGGUGUAGCGGUGAAAUGCGUAGAUAUCUGGAGGAAUACCGGUGGCGAAGGCGGCAUCCUGGACCGGCAUUGACGCUGAGUGAGCGAAAGCCAGGGGAGCAAACGGGG
rnacentral:rRNA from 1 species